rnacentral:rRNA from 1 species
GUGAGGAAUAUUGCGCAAUGGAGGCAACUCUGACGCAGCCAUGCCGCGUGCAGGAAGAAGGCGCUACGCGUUGUAAACUGCUUUUAACCGGGAAGAAACCCCAGGACGUGUCCUGGGUUGACGGUACCGGAGGAAUAAGCACCGGCUAACUUCGUGCCAGCAGCCGCGGUAAUACGAAGGGUGCAAGCGUUAUCCGGAUUCAUUGGGUUUAAAGGGUGCGUAGGCGGAGCGUUAAGUCAGUGGUGAAAUCCUGCAGCUUAACUGUAGACUUGCCAUUGAUACUGGCGCUCUUGAGUGCGCUGGAAGUGGGCGGAAUGUGCCGUGUAGCGGUGAAAUGCUUAGAUAUGGCACAGAACACCAAUUGCGAAGGCAGCUCACUAAGGCGAUACUGACGCUGAGGCACGAAAGCGUGGGGAUCGAACAGGAUUAGAUACCCGAGUAGUCC